CCUACGGGUGGCAGCAGUGAGGAAUAUUGGUCAAUGGGCGGGAGCCUGAACCAGCCAAGUCGCGUGAGGGACGACGGUCCUAUGGAUUGUAAACCUCUUUUGUCGGGGAACAAAGGCGCCCACGGGUGGGCGGAUGAGUGUACCCGAAGAAAAAGCAUCGGCUAACUCCGUGCCAGCAGCCGCGGUAAUACGGGGGAUGCGACGGUUAUCCGGAUUUAUUGGGGUAAAAGGGUACGUAGGCGGACAGUCAAGUCAGCGUGAAAACCGCGGGGCUCACCCUCGCUCUGCCUGUGAAACUGGCGUGCUUGAGUGGGCGAGAGGUAAGCGGAAUGCGUGGUGUAGCGGUGAAAUGCAUAGAUAUCACGCAGAACUCCGAUUGCGAAGGCAGCAUUCCGGCGUCCAACUGACGCUGAAGCACGAAAGCGUGGGUAUCGAACAGGAUUAGAUACCCUAGUAGUC
rnacentral:rRNA from 1 species